AUCUAGAUUACGAGUCCCAAAUAGGACGAAAUGCGUAUCCUGGAU
rnacentral:hammerhead_ribozyme from 1 species